rnacentral:lncRNA from 1 species
UUUUACCUUGUUAACAUGAGCCAUGAGGUCAUCUCCUUCUUCCAUCUUUACUGUCAAGAACUUCCUCCUUGUCCAAAGGAUGUUGGCAAGGUUUCUACUAUCAUAGAUGUUGCAAAGAGUCUUCCAUGCUUUCGCUAGUCCAUUGCAAGCUAUAACAUGUGAAAAGUUGGCAUCAUCAAGGUUUGUUGCAAUCAUCCCAAAAGCCUUCUUUUCACAACAUUUGUACUCCUUCUUCACUUUGAUAUCAGCAUUGUCACUUGGAGGGUUUUCACUUUCAUCAACAAUGUUUCAAAGGUCCAAUG